AUCCAACAGACGAGUCCCUAGUAGGACGAAACGCUCGUCCUGGAU
rnacentral:hammerhead_ribozyme from 1 species